rnacentral:rRNA from 1 species
UACGGGGGGAGCAAGCGUUGUUCGGAUUUAUUGGGCGUAAAGGGCGCGUAGGCGGCUUGGCAAGUGGAAGGUGAAAUCCCUCAGCUUAACUGGGGAACUGCGUCUGAGACUGGAUGGCUUGAGUGCAGGAGAGGAACGCGGAAUUCCAGGUGUAGCGGUGAAAUGCGUAGAUAUCUGGAGGAACACCGGUGGCGAAGGCGGCGUUCUGGACUGCUACUGACACUGAGGAACGAAAGCCAGGGGAGCAAACGGG